UGAGUUUGAUCAUGGUUCAGGAUGAACGCUGGCGGCGUGCUUAACACAUGCAAGUCGAACGGACUCAUAUUGAAACCUAGUGAUUUAUGAGUUAGUGGCGGACGGGUGAGUAACACGUGGGUAACCUGCCCAAGAGACUGGGAUAACACCUGGAAACAGAUGCUAAUACCGGAUAACAACACUAGACGCAUGUCUAGAGUUUGAAAGAUGGUUCUGCUAUCACUCUUGGAUGGACCUGCGGUGCAUUAGCUAGUUGGUAAGGUAACGGCUUACCAAGGCAAUGAUGCAUAGCCGAGUUGAGAGACUGAUCGGCCACAUUGGGACUGAGACACGGCCCAAACUCCUACGGGAGGCAGCAGUAGGGAAUCUUCCACAAUGGACGAAAGUCUGAUGGAGCAACGCCGCGUGAGUGAAGAAGGGUUUCGGCUCGUAAAGCUCUGUUGGUAGUGAAGAAAGAUAGAGGUAGUAACUGGCCUUUAUUUGACGGUAAUUACUUAGAAAGUCACGGCUAACUACGUGCCAGCAGCCGCGGUAAUACGUAGGUGGCAAGCGUUGUCCGGAUUUAUUGGGCGUAAAGCGAGUGCAGGCGGUUCAAUAAGUCUGAUGUGAAAGCCUUCGGCUCAACCGGAGAAUUGCAUCAGAAACUGUUGAACUUGAGUGCAGAAGAGGAGAGUGGAACUCCAUGUGUAGCGGUGGAAUGCGUAGAUAUAUGGAAGAACACCAGUGGCGAAGGCGGCUCUCUGGUCUGUAACUGACGCUGAGGUUCGAAAGCGUGGGUAGCAAACAGGAUUAGAUACCCUGGUAGUCCACGCCGUAAACGAUGAAUGCUAAGUGUUGGAGGGUUUCCGCCCUUCAGUGCUGCAGCUAACGCAAUAAGCAUUCCGCCUGGGGAGUACGACCGCAAGGUUGAAACUCAAAGGAAUUGACGGGGGCCCGCACAAGCGGUGGAGCAUGUGGUUUAAUUCGAAGCAACGCGAAGAACCUUACCAGGUCUUGACAUCUUUUGACAAUCCUAGAGAUAGGACUUUCCCUUCGGGGACAAAAUGACAGGUGGUGCAUGGUUGUCGUCAGCUCGUGUCGUGAGAUGUUGGGUUAAGUCCCGCAACGAGCGCAACCC
rnacentral:rRNA from 1 species